GCCGUUUGCGAGGUGCUGCAUGGUUGUCGUCAGCUCGUGCCGUGAGGUGUCGGCUUAAGUGCCAUAACGAGCGCAACCCUUGCCACUAGUUACUAACAGGUGAUGCUGAGGACUCUGGUGGGACUGCCAGCGUAAGCUGCGAGGAAGGCGGGGAUGACGUCAAAUCAGCACGGCCCUUACAUCCGGGGCGACACACGUGUUACAAUGGCGUGGACAAAGGGAGGCCACCUGGCGACAGGGAGCGAAUCCCCAAACCACGUCUCAGUUCGGAUCGGAGUCUGCAACCCGACUCCGUGAAGCUGGAUUCGCUAGUAAUCGCGCAUCAGCCAUGGCGCGGUGAAUACGUUCCCGGGCCUUGUACACACCGCCCGUCAAGCCAUGGGAGCCGGGGGUACCUGAAGUCCGUAACCGCGAGGAUCGGCCUAGGGUAAAACUGGUGACUGGGGCUAAGUCGUAACAAGGUAGCCGUACCGGAAGGUGCGGCUGGAACACCUCCUUUCUGGAGCUU
rnacentral:rRNA from 1 species